rnacentral:lncRNA from 1 species
AAACGUUUAAUCCCGCUGCAAAUGUUUGCAUCUGUCCUAAGUCAGGAAUCUGAUGUACAGUAGUUGUCGUUUGUUUAUGUAAUUUAUAAGUGUUUCUCGUUUCUCGUUUUUUUAUUUUAUAUAGAUUAGACCGUUGUUUUUUCCCGUUUGAAUGGUUUUACACUAGUAAUUUUGGGGCCCUUUAUAGCUUGUUGUUCGGUGUGAGCCAAGGCUCCGUGUUGAAGGCCGUACAUUGACCUAUAAUGGUUUACUUUUUUACAUUGUUAUUUGGAUGGAGAGUUGUCUCAUUGGCACUCACACCACAUCUUCC